GAGGUUAUUGGGCCCGUCCAGUUUAACUCCACAUACUGUUGUGUUGAUGUAGUUUAUUGUCAAAACGUUCGCUUUCUUCCGAGUCGACUAUUAAACGAACAGCACCACCAAAAACGUCACCGCGGUGACGUUCAACUUCAGAUUGAAUGUUGUACAAUUA